ensembl:lncRNA
CCCCAAAAAAAAUACUUGGGUGAACUUACUGGGCUUAACGGGGGAUCAGGAGCCCUCCCUGGGCUUAACGGGGAUCAGGAGCCCUCCCUGGGUUUAACAGGGGAUCAGGAUUGCGCUUACGUGGUGCUGGCACUGAAGUGAGUUUUGGGGCUGGAGCCGACACUGGAGCAAGUUCACCGGGCUUACCUGGGGGUCAGGGACGUGCCUACGAGGUGCUGGGACUGGAGGGCGCUCUGGAGGAGCAGGCACAGCAAGGUGCUUUCUAGGAGCUGGCACUGGAGUGAGCUUUGGGGCUGGCAGGCUUGCCACACGAACCGUCGGCUGUUUUGCCAUAUUAAUUUUCGGUAGGCUUGUCACAUGAAUGGCCGGUGAACUUGAGUGUGCCACGGAUGACAGUAGGCUUAAGUGAGCCGCGGUCUGCAAACUUGACUCGGGAAUGGCUGGUUGACUUGACUCGUGGACGCUUGGCAUUUCUGAGCUGAGGACUAUUGUGGAGCUUCGGAUAAUUCAGGGGUAUUUGGGGCUUAGCAGGCGGUUCGAACCGUUGGUGCGGUAUGUGGGGGUUCCCGGCGUGGAGUGAGCUGGCGAGACGCAGCGUGCCUUAGACUGGACUGGAUGACAAGACUGAAACUUUUCCUCUAUUUCUUCAAUUUCAUAAUUGGAGCCAUUUAAAUAAAGAACAAGAUUUAUCAGCUCGAUCAGAGGAUAAUUACACACGGGGAGAUCACAGCGGAUUCUCAGCUGUUUAGCAAGCUCGAGGAAAUCCUCCACAUACCAUUCCAACCUCCGACCAGCCCGCCGCAAACCCCACAGCCUGUCCUCAGCCAUCAUCUGUCUUGGUCUGCUGUUCUGUCAUGAUUCACAGGAGCAAGGAACGAAGAGGCGCAGGAGAGUUACUAUAUUACAGUCUUUAAUCAUUCAUAGGAAUCACAACGAGAAAAUCAUACAGAGUGUAGGGGGAGAUGACAUUUAACAGCAGACGCUAGAGACAGGGAAACACAGGGCUUAAACAGAAGGACUAAACGAGAUCAUUAAUAACACAGAGCUGGAACUUAAUAAUCUAAUAAUGAAAUGAUAAGGACAGGAACAGUAAGGACCAAAUAAGGGCAAGAAAGGCACAUGAGGAGCAAAACACUCAAAACACGGAGCAGAGUCUGACAGUAUCAUGGUUACCGCAAAAAUAUUAAGCAACAAAAACUGUUUGUAAAAUUGAUAAUAAUAAUAAUAAUAAUAAUAAUAAUAAUAAUAAUAAAUGUUUCUUGAGCAUCAAAUCAGCAUAUUAGAAUGAUUUCUAAAGGAUCAUGUGAAGACUGGAGUAAUGGAUGCUUAAAUCAAAGAACUGGAUGCUUGUCCAUAACAGAAAUAAAUUUUAAAAUAUAGUAAACUAGAAAAAAGUUAUUUCCAAUUGUAAUAAUAGUGCACAAUAUUACUGUUUUCACUGCAUUUGUAAUUAAAUUAAAUUAUUAUAAAGCAAGUUGUUUUCUGACAGAAUUCUGACAGUCCAGGUUGCAAAAUGACAUAACAGUACAGAUUAAUAAUUGGUGAUAUGUAUUAAUGAUGCCUUUGUCUUAUUGGUUGGUUCAUUGCUCUGUUGUUUCCAGAUGUGGUUGCAUUUGAGAAGUGGAAGUAAUUAUGAACAAUGGUUAAAGUCCUCAUUAAAAUCUAAAUGAGCCUUGGGACUAGUGAGGGGAAAUUAGCUUUAAGACCAUCAUAGACAUAAAGUCUAGCAUAUAUCUCCUCAUUUCAACAUAUCUUUGUUCUUUUCCCAUUUUCUUAUAUCUUCUGUAAUUCUGAAAGUCCUGUAAGACCCCUAUGGCUAAAUGCCAGUGGGUAGCGCUAUGUCAAUGAUGUUCACUUGACAUUCUGUAGUGCAUCUCAAACUUUGUUGAAGCAGUUCAGACAACUCGUCACUUGUUUUUUUUUUUUUUUUUUUUUAACCAAAUGCAUAGAUUUUCCUGCAAAACAAUUUCUUCCAGAAUAUGCUGAUGCCCUUCAUUGAACAGAUGGCAUUGCCAUAUGUACUGUGCUCCCACCUAAGUCUCUGCUCACAGCUCGCAACGACUACUUCACUGCUGUUCUGUGGAAUUACAAUGGCUGUAAGAAAAACUAUGUGAGAAAACACCCAUGGAGUAUCUGUCUACAUCAGCAGUUCUGCUUCACAGUGUUGUGUUAUGAAAAAAAUCUUUUGUAAGUUUUAAAAAUUAUGUUGUUGAUAACCCUGCUGAGAGAAAAAAGAGAGAGAGAAAAAGAAAAAAAAAACCUGGUCUGCGUUGCUGGUUUUAGAGGGGCAUUUGUAUGGUCAAACUGGGAGACCAAAUGGCUUGACCAAGCUGGAAGACCAGCUUAAAGCAGGUAAGACCAGCAAACCAUCUUAGGUUUGUUUUUUAAUAAUAGUUCACCCAAAUUUGCUGAAAAUGACCUCUCCCUCAGGAUGAGUAGAGGAGUUUGUUUCUUCAUCAGAACAGAUUUAGAGAAAUGUAGCAUUAUAUUAGUUGUUCAUCAAUGGAUCCUCUGCAGUAUUAGUGCCCUCAGAAUGAGAGUCCAAACAGCUGAUAAAAGCAUCACGAUAAUCUACAAGUAAUUCACAGGACUUAAGUCCAUCAAUUAACAUCUUGUGAAGUGAAAAUCUGGUGUUUGUAAUAAAUUCAUAAUUUAGAUAUUUUAACCUCAGACCGCUUCUUCCAGGUAAAAUACCUAUAGUCCUCUAUCCAUUAUAUUGCUUUCUUCAGUGAAAAUGUUGUCUCGACUGAAUCAGGAAUGAAAUGAAGAGUUUAUUUGCAAAAACAUAACUCUAAAUCAUGUUUUUUUUUAUCAUGUUUGUUUUAUUGUUAGUUUUAUUUUUUAGUUAUUUUUUAACCUAAUCAAAAUAACCUGACUGCAAUUUGAUUGAGAUUAAUUGGAAUACACAAUGAAAAAAAUAAAAUUUAGAAAAUUGUUAAAAACAGAGUUAUCUGUUUUUCCAAAUUAAAUCGUCAAAUUAUCAAGCAAUGUUUACAAGCAAAAACAGUUCUGAACUUUUCCACUUUUUUCCAGAGUUAUUAUGGAUUAUGGACACACGUUCUGGCCAGAAGUGAAGGUUUAAGGUUAAACACCUCAAUAAUGGAUUAUUGUGAAGUUUUUAUCCCGUUUGGACUCAUUCUGAUGGCCCCCAUUCAUAGCAAAGGAUUCACUGAUGAGCAAAUAGAUAUAAUGCAAAAUUUCUUCAAAUCGUUUCUGAUGAAGAAUCAAUUUCAUCUACAUUUUGCAUGGCCUGAGGGUGAAUACAUUUUCAGCAAAUUUUAAUUUUAUGGUGAACUAUUCCUUUAAACUCCCUUUUCAGCAGCAUAUAUUAUUAUUAUAAUAUAUUUAUAUUACUGAAAAUGAUAUGUUUAUUUUACCUACCAAUCACAGUGGGGAAAUCAGUGGUCCAUCACACCCUUGUUAUGGAGUUUGUAAAUUUUUGCUGUUGUGGAAGGUGAUUGUUCUGUGCUGUUUAAUAUUAUCACUUUGUCUUUAACAUCUGUAACUGUGUAUGCUACUUUUUUCCUUUCCUCUGACCCUCCUUAUUGUCUGCAGUGUUUGGUUUUUUAAGAGAAAAAAAAUGCUAUACAUUAACAAAAUGUUUGCUUUCAAGUAAUGUGAUUGUGUCACACUCAUUUUUGUACUUGCUGUCUGGCUGUUUGUAAUAAAUGACAAAAUUUAAUGUGACUUUUGUGCUUGGUAGUCGCAUGAAACAUAAUGCAUUCUAAAAAAAAUUAAU